rnacentral:misc_RNA from 1 species
UUUGCAUCGAGAGCUAAUCUCGCAGCAAAUAAUGUUCGAUCAGCCAUUGGAGACAGGAUUUCAGUGAUUGUACAGAAUACAGCACUGAUGCUGGUCGCUUGCACUGCUGGGUUUGUUUUGCAGUGGCGCCUUGCCCUUGUCCUAAUAGCCGUCUUCCCCUUGGUCGUUGCAGCCACAGUUCUACAGAAAAUGUUCAUGACUGGUUU